GGGGGUAGAGUUCAGUGGUAGAGCGAGUGCUUGGCGUGCACAAGGUCCUGGGUUCAAUCCCCAGUGCCCCCA
rnacentral:tRNA from 1 species